rnacentral:rRNA from 1 species
AAGACCCCGUGAACCUUUACUAUAGCUUGACACUGAACAUUGAGCCUUGAUGUGUAGGAUAGGUGGGAGGCUUUGAAGUGUGGACGCCAGUCUGCAUGGAGCCGGCCUUGAAAUACCACCCUUUAAUGUUUGAUGUUCUAACGUGGACCCGUGAUCCGGGUUGCGGACAGUGUCUGGUGGGUAGUUUGACUGGGGCGGUCUCCUCCUAAAGAGUAACGGAGGAGCACGAAGGUUGGCUAAUCCUGGUCGGACAUCAGGAGGUUAGUGCAAUGGCAUAAGCCAGCUUGACUGCGAGCGUGACGGCGCGAGCAGGUGCGAAAGCAGGUCAUAGUGAUCCGGUGGUUCUGAAUGGAAGGGCCAUCGCUCAACGGAUAAAAGGUACUCCGGGGAUAACAGGCUGAUACCGCCCAAGAGUUCAUAUCGACGGCGGUGUUUGGCACCUCGAUGUCGGCUCAUCACAUCCUGGGGCUGAAGUAGGUCCCAAGGGUAUGGCUGUUCGCCAUUUAAAGUGGUACGCGAGCUGGGUUUAGAACGUCGUGAGACAGUUCGGUCCCUAUCUGCCGUGGGCGCUGGAGAACUGAGGGGGGCUGCUCCUAGUACGAGAGGACCGGAGUGGACGCAUCACUGGUGUUCGGGUUGUCAUGCCAAUGGCACUGCCCGGUAGCUAAAUGCGGAAGAGAUAAGUGCUGAAAGCAUCUAAGCACGAAACUUGCCCCGA